rfam:Myotis lucifugus cont2.46599, whole genome shotgun sequence.
GGCGGUUCUCAGGUGGCGCACCCCGGAAUCGGGCUCCCUCCUCUCUGGUUCCGGGUGCCAGGUCACCACAGCUCAGCA